rnacentral:lncRNA from 1 species
GGUUCUAUGGCAGCCCUUAGACUAAGUCGUAAAUCAUGAAUGGCUAGACAGCGUGGAUCACUAUGAAAUCACUUGUCUCCAUGUUCUGUUCUAGUUCCAGCCCUUAGCUGGGCUUUCUGAACCUACGGAUUACAUGAGCGCAAACCCAGGUAGAUCACCACUGGACCUUCGAAAUGAGGGAAAAAUUGAAACAGAAGACAAAAACAGCGAUGCGAGUCCCUCGUGAAAUUAACCAGGAUCCACACAUCAUGAAUAUAGAUGACCAUUGGGCGUCAUCUGCUACACAAACUACAGGGUCGUGGUCACUCCAUCCUAGACGACUGCUUUCUGAAGGCAUUUUCAACUCGCUAAUAAUGCUCAUUCUCCAUCAGCGUGCUCCGUCUGUCUGGGGGAAGGAUUUUGUUGACUGCAAUUUGAAACUUCCGUCGAAUUUAAGGAUGAUAGACAGACAUACAGCAUAAAUGUAUCGAAGACAAAAACAUAUCUUCUGAAUGCAGCCGUCAGCGAGCCAUUGAAUGUCCUGUAGCAAAGGUAACGGGUCACUAUUUACCGUGAAGACUGGGACGAGAACUCGAGGCAUCUGAGCGGUGCUGUGCCAAUUGUCUAGGGGAGAGGACGCGUUUCCUUUCCCACUCAAAGAGUGAGCUUUGUUUGUUUGCACAUGUUUUAGAUCAAUAACUGGUAAUAGUAAAGGCAGGACAAAAGCGCUAAUAACCAUGAGCCAUCUGCAGCGCGAAUCGACAUUUCCCAAGUUAAACACUACAGUCUUGUGAAUGAAUACAGGGUAUAUGAUUUAUUUUAAUUGGAAAACAAAUGCCUUGAUCUAGCUACGCCAAAAGGGGGCACCAGGGUAUUAAAGAAGUUAUCAUGUUUUCGGAGGCUAUAGCUGAAAUUAAGUGAAGUUUGGAGAGAUUUUUAGUAUAAUUAAUAUGUACACGAUUUUAAUAACGUGCUAUUCUAAAAAGUCCGUUAGGUGGUUUCAGGAUUUUCGGUAAGACAGUUUUAACAUCUGAGUGGAAUUUUCUAUUGCUCUGGGGUGAUUUCUUGGCGGUUUGAGGGUAUACAUGCAAACCAGGAACGUAUUUUAUUUGAUGAAAAACAGUAUAAAGAAAACCACAUAUAUAGCUCCUUAUGAUUCUAUCGAUAUUAAUGCUCAUGGUGUUUUUCACUGAAAUUUGCUGUAUUCUGUCUUUACAACAGAAGUGUGUCUCCUCUUUGUUGUCUAAGACACUUAGUAAAUAUGAGAGUAUUUGUUUUGAUGCACGUGUGUCUAGGUGGAAAAUAGGCAGCCUUCUGUAUUGGCUUUUCUGAGAGAAGGAUGCAGAAAGUGGGGACUUGGGGGGUAUGGCAAAUAGUAGCUAAUUUAGAGAUUGAGUACCAUAGCUUCCAGAAUCCAAAAGGAAUACAUCAAGCGACUAGGAAGCGUUUUCUGGAGAGAUUUUCAAAGUAUACAUUUUGGUUAAUCCUGUGUCAUUUUCGUGAUUCCAGUAAAGCGGAUUUAGUGGAGGAAAAGAGGGAGAGACAAAACUAUUCUUAAUGAGGUUGUAAAUACAUGCAACACAACUAGAUGUGCCUCUUCUGCUUUAAUGUCACUUAAAGAGUAAACACCAAUUCGAUUUCUAAUUUUGUUAGGGAUUGAGUACGCGCGCUAUUUCUGUAUUUCUGUUGUUUUCCUCCUCACCCUGAUCCGGUCUCCGCUUCCCUCCCCCACGUGAAAUAGAGACCUUUUAUAUGUAAUCAAAUCUGAACUGGUUGGUUAGCUAAUAAUUCCUCUUAAAAAUGGAAAUCAGUGGCUGCACGAUCCUGUUUUCUCUAUAUGUCUCUACCGCUUCUAAAGAUGGCUGCAAUCUAAACAGAAUGGGCUGUCUUUUCAUAGACAGUUUCUUCUUUUUAUUUUUAGCUGUCCAGUCAUAGCUUCUUAAAAAAAGAGAAAAUGAUACAUUUAGUUGAAAUCAUGUUUUAUAGUUUAAUUUUUACCCAGCCUUUGGUCUUGCUCAUUUUAUGCUUUGUGAUAAUUUAUGGAAUCAUAUAUCAGGCAAUGCAAGGCGAUUUACAGGCUGCUAUCACAUCUCCAUAACUUUGAUGAAAUAUGUGACUAAUUAGUAUAUUGUUUAACUGGGAGAAUUAGAUUAAAACAACAAAUGUCUUUCAGGUUUAUUUGAAAACAUAUGGAUUUUAUUCAACUGAAGUAAAUAUUCAGGUGCAAUAAAUUGUUAUGUGUAGUGCA